GGCCGGGCGUGGAACGCCACGUUAUUCUUUCCACCCUUGCGUGGCUGUACCGGAAGGAGGUGCCCAUUUUCAGGACUUGACGCUUCCAGUUUAAACCUCAAGAUGAAGAAAGUGAGACCCAGAAGAGUCACUCAUUCAAUUGAACCAUUUCAACAACCAGAUCUGGCCUCUAUUCCUGUUGUUCCAGACGAAAGAAAUGGAAAAGCUCCGAGCAGAAUGAAGUCAGAGCAUGCGCCUUCGUGCUCUGGGUAAGGGGUCAUCGCCAAAUUCCGGAUCAACCUUAGGAUCAACUUGGAGACCUACACACGAAGAGGAAAGCUGCACACUUGAAAUGGCAUUUUCAGUGCAAAUUGGUAUCUGGUUAUGUGGUAUCAUGGCUCUAUGGAAGUGUACUUGCCCAUAGUGAGCGCGCAAUUAACAGCACAUAUUGUUAUUUUCUAA